GCCCCGGGCCCGGCCGCUCCGCAGAGCCCGCCUCCCGUCGGGGCGGGGCUGGGCCGGGGCGGGGCUGCCGCGGCUGGGGAGCGGCACCAGCGCGUCAGGCACUGCCGGGUCAGCUAUGGCGGCACGCGAUGAGGUCCUGGGGGGAGGGGCGUCUCCAUGGCGACGGGUGUAAACAUCGCGGGCGGUGCGGGCCAUGGCGGCGCGCCGCGCUCCGCCGGGCGGGACUGCUCCUGAAUCUUCCUCUGAGAUUCCAGGUUGCCAAACACGUAUCAACAGUCUGAAAUACAUCCUGUCCAAGAAACAGAAGACUCCGCUUUCUGCUAGAGGCCAUUGGUCCACAUGGCCUGCAUUUGCAUCCGGACAGACAGUCUUAAAGAAUCACAAACCCUGCUGCGCCCCAGAGGAGAGACAGUCUAGCAAUAAACAGGCCCUUCUCACCGUUCCAAAGCCACGGUACUUGGAACAACUAGAGUCCUACUUAAGGAAAGAGCUGCAGUCUCUCGAUCUGACUAAAAAGAACUCCCAGGAACUGAAGUUACAGCCCUACAGAGAGAUUUUUGAAUUCUUCAUAGACAACUUCAAGACCUACAAGCCCUUGCUGUCAGCUAUAAAGAAUGAAUAUGAAGUUACUUUGGCUCAUCAAAAGAAGACAAUUUGUGCCCUAGAGCCCCUGAAGGCUAUGGUCACAACUGUCUCCGAGGAGUGCACCCGGCAGAUACUGGCACUGCAGGAAAAGGAGAAAGAUAAAAUAAAUAUGUUAAAGGAAGAGAAACAACGUUUGUUAAAGUUCAUUGACAACAUGAAGGAAGAAAAGAAUUCUCUUCAGACUCAGGUGGAGCAUCUGCAGACGAGCGUGGCUGAGGAGUAUGCUCGCUAUCUCAAUGAGUACAGUGCCCGCAAACUGCUUCUAGCAAAACUGAAUGAUAUGCAUAAUGAACAGCUGGACAUGACGCGUCACCAAGUCCAAGACAUCAAGGGUGAAGAUGUGGUGAAGUUAACUUUGGCAUUAAAGGUAGCUCGGCAGGACCUCACAAAAGCCCAGGUGAAGCUGAACACCAUGAUAGCAGACUAUGAAGAUGUUGUGCCCAGGAGAGAUUUUGAAUCACUGGAGAAAAAAUACUCUGAUUUACUUCAGGAGAUGAAGACUCUGCAGAAGGAUUUUGAUCAGCUCCAUAAGGAAUAUGAAACACUGCUGGAAAUCCACAGAGAGACUGCAGAAGAGCGAGACAACUUCUGCACUGAACUCCAGCGAGUUCAGCGCAACUACACACCCCGGCCAAACUGGCCAAAGUGUUCAGAGGUGAUUCCUGGUGGAGCUGACCGGUGGGGCUGUCUGGCUGAGGGGAAGAGCAGCGGUCAGCUAGUGGAUGUGCUUCUGGAAGAAAUAGGAACAGGAGUGCUAAAAGAGAUAAAUGUCUUCCCUGGAUGGGGCAAAGGUGACAAAGUUCCUGUGUACCUGAGGCAUGAAGGUGAAGUCAAGAACAAAAAGCUGACUAAGAAGGAUGUGGUGAGCAUUCUAAAGGAUGUCUGGAAGGAGAAAAUUGCACUAGAACAGCAGACAGGGAAGCGAUCCAGUCUUCCCGAGUUCUUUCUCAGCUACCUCCAGAAGAAGUAUGGAGAUGCCGCUGCCAUGGAAUGGUCUUACACCCUCUACGAGAACAUGCGACUCUGUCGAUCAAACCCUGUCCUGAGCUCAUUCUACAACAUACUCACCGGGAAGGUGGGCGAACAGCAGUACCACGGCCAGAAUCAGCUGAUUUCCAACCUGCAAAAGGAGCUGGCUGCCUGUGACAGCUCAAACAGCGGAUCCCUGAGCAGCAAGCAGUUCAGCCUGGCUCUGAGGGAAGCUUUUCCCCUGAAAAGGAAAGAGUCAAUCCAAGAACUAGUUGAUGCAAGCAGGUACAAGCUGGACAGCACUGAAGACCUCAUUGACUACAUAUCCUUAUUCAAAGAAGAUGAGGAAGGGAACACUGAACCUUUUGUCGCAAAGCUGAGGAGCCAGUAUGUCAGGGAGAAGCAGGAAUAUCUGAAACAGCUGAAGAGCAAGCUGGGAGAUGUAAUAGAGGUGAAGGCAGAUGACCUGAAGGGCGCCUUCUGCACAAUCGAUCCUGAUAUUGAUGAUCAGACGCUAGAUACCUACAUUGGCCUGGCUUACCAGGUCCAAAGAGAACAGCCAGGCCAGGAAGUUGUGCCUGUGGAAACCGCACUUGAGAGACUGCUUGCUGGAGAUGUGAGACGAGUCGGGCCCUCACCCAGGGAGGGAAGCACGGCAGGCUUUGAAGGAGAGUAAGCAGACUUCCAGUAUUAAGAAUAAAUGAACUGUUUUAUCUGCAGGUUUUGAUACCAAGCUGUCAGUCAGAGUUACUACACUAAAUACUUCCUCCCAUGCAUACAGAGAUACACCUGUAACUAACAGUUGAGAGGAUAGGCUAGCUAGAACUAUCAGAAGCACUUUCAACUUAAGCAGCAAAGCACUCCAAUACAAUUUUGCAGCCUCCACAGAAUCAUUUCAGCUCAGCGAGACUUGCAGCAGGAGGUUGCCUGAUCCCCAGACAGAGGCUUGACACCCCCACAGCACUGGGGCACCGCACGGUGUUGGGCUCUCUGCUUGGUAACGAAACAACUACACUCCAGCAGCCAUUGCUAGAACCUGAGAAGCCGUCAUCAAACUCCAGGCUGUGACAUGGCUGCUUUAGCCCUUGGGCCUUACGGUUCUUUGGCUCAAAGGCAAGGUUUCAAAGACACAUUUGCAAAGUAAAGAAAGUGCCAUCAGCACAGUGAGUGUGCACAUGAGAGGCGAGUUCGGCCCACGCUGGGUUUGCUAUCGUGUCUGUCCCCAAGACUUUUAUCUUGGUGUACCUGCUGUUGUCCACUAUGAAGUCACUUCAAAAGAAAUUCGAGUGCUGCUCCAUGAGUAGGUUUAACCAAACUCUGAGCUGGAGAAGUAAUCCAAGCACAGAAACACUGAAAUCCGUUCCUUGCUUCAAAGAAGACACCGCAUGCAUUUUGGUAACUGCCUUGCCAACCACUGGCAUCAAUUAAUCUUUCCUAUUCAUUGGUGUGCUCUCUAUCCAGCAUAUAGCCCUCUCCAGGGAGGGGAAUAAGGGUUCUUGAAACAAAAACCCCGUAAGAAAACAGCUCUGUUAUGGUUGUGCCUCAAUUGCCAAGUAAGCGGAGCAAACCCAAGAAGCAAAACCCGUUCUUCUCACAACAUAGUUUGAAAAGUAGAAAGGAGAAAGCUGAAAUCAGAAAUUGUCUUCCUAAAAAACCCCACAAUUUUUGCGAGCAUUUGCAAAAACUGACUGCAUUUGUAAACUGGAAAGGCAUCACAGCCUGCGCGACAGAGGAAGUACCACCCAGAGGUAGGAUGCCCCUGAGAUUUCUGCUUUGAAUACUGAAUUUGGUGCCGGGCACUUCCAACACAAAUCACAAAAUACCAGGAAAGGAACUGUAUUUUAGUGAACAGGGAGACACAUCAUCUAGCUAUAAACCAAAUGUCCUAACUGCAGGAGUAUUCUGAAAGGAACUAUGGCAAAAUUCAGUAUAUCUAAAGAGGACAGGGAACUUAAACACCAAGAAAGUGUUUGGUAGAUGAACAUCAAAUUUGCAAAGCUUUUCAAAAAAGCCCCUAAUGGGGAUGUAAGAGAAAGCAGUGGGCUACAGAGAGCAGGAAUCAUUCAUUUUGCUUCACCCCGAGGACUUUAGAUCCCUAUGAGUUAAUGGCUGUUUACAGGGCCAGGUGUCUCUUUCUUUCGCCCUUCCAGUUACAUUGUUAGGACUCUAACAAGGUGUCCCUAAAAGUCUUGAAUUUAGUUAACCCUGACUUCACUGCAACUAGAUGCUGAACACGUCUCAACAGAAGAGAAAGACCAGAUGGGGAGUCUUACCUCUCCCUCUCACAAAAUUCCCAACCAUCAAAGCCCCAUCAUCUCCUGCCUUCAGCUGGAAGCUGUUCAGGUCAGGAACCUGGCAGCUGAGGAAGCUGGUUGCAGAUGUGUGUCCUCCUAGCAUGGCUGCAGGAGGAAGCAAUACAAUGGAAGGAAAGAAGAACCAGUGGCUUCUUCCUGGGAAAUUCUCUCCGUUCUCUCCUUAGGAAAAGAGGGUUCUCACCAUGGUUUAGCAACAGAGGGAAAAGGAGUUGGAAACUUCAUUACUACUUCAGAUCAAAAUUUUCAAACUCUGGCGUGCAAAGCCUCAAGGACACACUUGAACAGUCCCAUAAUGACAGAAAAUAUAUUUUUUAAAGUACAAGUUUUGCAUUAUGUUUGUUCAAACAACAAAGCUGUUUCCUUUUGAAUAUUGCAAAAAAAUCCCCUUUGUUGUAUUAAUGGAAUUACUUUUUAAAAAAGAAAAAAACAAAAACACCUUGAAAAA